GGCAAUAUGGCCGAGCGGUCUAAGGCGCUGGAAUCAGGUUGAGUCAGACUCUGCCAUAUCCAGUCCGAAAGGGCGUGGGUUCGAAUCCCACUGUUGUCA